rnacentral:rRNA from 1 species
ACCCGUUCCCAUCCCGAACACGGUCGUUAAGCCCGCCAGCGCCGAUGGUACUGCACUUGAUGUGGGAGAGUAGGUCGUCGCCAUGU